rnacentral:tRNA from 2 species
GUAUCGCGUACUCAGCGACAGUGAGUUGACUUUUAAUCAAUUGGUCGCAGGUUCGAAUCCUGCACGACCCACCA